CGUGUAGGCGGUCAGGUAAGUUGGACGUGAAAGCUCCUGGCUCAACUAGGAGAGGUCGUUCAAAACUGCCUGGCUAGAGGGCGACAGAGGGAGGUGGAAUUCCCGGUGUAGUGGUGAAAUGCGUAGAUAUCGGGAGGAACACCAGUGGCGAAGGCGGCCUCCUGGGUCGCACCUGACGCUCAGACGCAAAAGCUAGGGGAGCGAACG
rnacentral:rRNA from 1 species